AGGCCUCAUGCUCACUGGCAAGCAC
rnacentral:piRNA from 1 species